rnacentral:lncRNA from 1 species
UUUUUUUUUUGUAAAUUUGUACACCUUUUUGGCUUACAUGACAUCCAAAUAUCUCUCACGCGCCUCAAUUGCGUGGAGUCACAGAGUGUGACACCUAAGACAAAAGGUGUAUCAAAUUACAAAAAAUAAAAUGAGUUCAGGGUAAUAAGACCUUAGUUUAAUUAAGUAUGUCUCUGAUAUUUCGAUCAUAAUCUAAGGUACUUAUGUCUUAUCCCUAUAUAUUUAUUUAAUUUUAUAGCAUAAUUACAGAGUACGAAAAAGCUACUAGAUUCGCCCUACCUAGCUCCGCCCCCUACUAGAGUAUCAUUUUCCCCAAGUAAAACGCUUUUGUCAAUAUUAGAACAGGUGUUCGGCCAAAGUUUCUGGAGAAAAAAAAUACUUCUCUCAGUUUCUAAUUUCUGUUACAACUCAAAAGCACUUUUCACUUUUUCCUAAAAGUCUGGCCAAAUACCUCAGAUUUUUAACUCAUAAAUUGAUUUGCAGAAAAGUAAAACAAAUAUUUAUAUGUAAAAUUAGUACCUGAGCAAGUCUUGUGUGUUGUCAAUUUGUAAAUAAGGACCAAAAUUCCAACAAAAUGUGCGAAUUCAGCCAAAACGAAGAAGUGAUUGUGUUCAUGAAUAAGGAGUUUUAGAGUUACUAGUAAAGUAAGAACAGUGAAAACACCCAAAAAUGUCUUCACUUUGUUUGAUUGUUUUCUAACCCAUGAAAAUAGCUUCUGCAAUGGCCUUUGAACUCCUUUCUGACCCAUCUUCUUUACCUCUCUCUCUCUCUCUCUACUUCUUCUGAAAAACUCAAUAAAUGCAUGUAUAAAGUGGGGUUUGGUACUAUCCAAAAAGAGAGAGAGAGAGAGCACUUUUUCCAUGUUUAAAUUCAUCCUUGUUUGUUCAAAAUUGUUUGUCACGAUAGAAUUAUGCGGGUAUUAAUAAAUUAUUGAUUAGUUAUGAGUAAAUUUAUGUAUACUUUUGUUAUCUUAUCGAUUAGUUAUGAGUAAAUUUAUGUACUUUUCUAUUUCAUAGUAGAUGCGCAUCUUAUUAAAAAAAUUUAUCUCAUGUUAUUACUUCAUCACUUGCACUUUGUUUAAAUGGUUGUUACGUAUUUUUUAAUAAUGUAUUGUAUCGUACGGUAUUGUUUAAUAAAUACAGUGUUUGAAUAGGUUGUAAUUUGUUAUGUUCUUUGUCAUUACCUAAUAUCACAUAUUUACAAUUUGAAUGAUAAACCUACAAAAAAGUAGGGUACAUGUAGAGCUAGUAUGAAAAUGUAUAGCAAAAGAUGAAAUAUAUUUAUUAAGUAAUAAAUAAAGACAAAAUGAUAGGAAAAUAUUUAGGUAACAUGCAAUCACACAAAAUCGAUUAUUACAUAAAAUGAGUCUUUUUGUAUACGAUACAAUAGAAUUUAAGUAACAAUCAAAAUAGGCACGGUAUUUAAACUAACAAUACAAUACAACGGGUAACAACCACCCAAACAAAGUGUUACUAAAUCAUAAUAGAAUUAAUUUACUAUUUCUAAUUUUACCCCUGCAAUUAUUAUGACUUUGGAAGUUUAAAUAAAUUUUGAAGAUCCAAUUUUUUUAUGAGUCUAAUUAAUUUAAGCAAAGAAAAAAAUAGUAAAUAUGAUCGAUCUAUUUAUAAUUUCUUAAUCACGAUGUAAAAUAGAAAGCAUCCACCUAACAUGAAAUGGGAGAGUAUUAUUUUAUGUGAAUUUUUAUAUUGUCAAACAAAUAUCAUACAAUUUUAUAAAUUAAUAAUUUAUUUCUUGUCUAUCUACCAAACAUAAUAUAAAUUACAUAAAAAAUAAUAUAUGAAUAACAUGUUGUUGCUAUCAAAUAAUCCUUUAGAGGUCGUUUUUGAGGUCAUUUUAUAGCUUGUUAGAGGAAAUUUUUACAUAUAACAUGUUGCUGCCAUCAAAUAAUCCUUUGGAGGUCGUUUUUGAGAUCAUUUUAUAGCUUGUUAGAGGAAAUUUCUAUGCAUAAGUUAGAGUUAUACUAUUUGAUUUUAAAAACCAAUAUUCUUACAAAUUAUAAAACUGUCAUGUGUAUUUGAAAAAAAUAUAUAUCAUUUUUGAGAUUCUCAUAACAUAUCUAACAAAAAAUUCGACUUCAAUCUAAUUAUGUCCAAACAAACCCUAUAUCUUAAAUUCAUUAUAUUACGAGUGUACGUGUGAAUUUAUUAAUUUUUACUACUAACAAAUAUUAUGUUUUGAUGAUAUUGUAAUUGCAAAAAUAAAAAUAAACUCAGUGGUGAAAAUAUAAAAACGAAAUUUAAAAUCCUUAAUCAUUACAUUUUAUUUUAUUUUACAUUGAAUAAAGAUGGGAGUUGAUAGUAGUAGGGAUGCAGGUUGACGUAGCAACACCAAAGAAGAAAGAGAGACGUUGGUCUCUUCAACAACGGGUAGAUUGUUUAAUAAGUUGAAUAAAUUAUUUCAAGAUUAUAACAAAUGGUAUCAAGAAAAAAUUGAUCAAAUAUGAAUCAUUUACAAAACCAAACAAAUAACUUUUAAUUAUUGAUUAAAUACAAGCUACUGUUUUUUUUUAAAAAAAUAAUCUCUAAAAAGUAAAUUUUGACAAAAGCUAAUCUCAAAAUAACCAUAUUUUAAAGUUUUUUUGUCUAACAUAUCUAUUUGUGAGAAAGGGAUGCUUAACUAAUGGAUAGAUACAUUGUGGAAUUGAUGAAGGAUUUUUUUUUUUAAUUUGAUGUUUGAUAUUCGUGUAAAAUUCAAUUGAAUUUAAAUUUACAUAUCACAAACUUUUUUUUUUUGACGCAUUAUUAACAAAAAAAGAUUCAUUUCUAAAAAUUCAAACUCGAAAUAAUGAGGAAAUUAAAAUAUAAGAAUUGUUUAUUUAUAGCCCUCGUGCAACACGAGAACACCUCUUCUUUUAGGGAAAGUCAAUUGCUACUGGAUUUUAGUAUUUAUUUAUUUUUAUAAAACGAAUAUUAAAAUAAUUUUUCUUGAAGAAGAAAUAGGAUCUGGUUGGUUUUAUUUUACAGGGAGUAUUUAAAUGCGAUAUGAAUCUUCACAUAAUCCAAAAUAUUCUUUUGCAUUUAAGUUGACAAAGUAAAUACUGCCUCCGUUCCUUUUUAUAUGUCACAUUUUUAGAUUGUACUUAUAUUAAGAAAUUAAGCAAUUUUACUUUUCUGUUCUUAUUUAAUAUUUUCUUAAGUCAAUUUUUCAAUAAAUGAUGAAUAUGCUAGAUUUCAAAAAUUAAAAUGCAUUUGGAUGACUAUUAAAAAAAAAUUGAGUUUAUUUUUAAAAUCAUAUUUUAUAGAAUAGAGAAUGGAGAGAGUAAUUAAUCAAUGUAUGAAGUACUCCAAUGAAUAUUAAUUACUUAUUAGUUUUUCUAGGUUGGUCAAAUUAUUUAUUUUCAAGACUAAUUAACUACUCUAUCAACGGUAUAAUAGGAAGAAUAUGAUAAUUUAUGUAUUGAUUUUAUGAAAUAAUAAGUAUUAUGAUCCAACUAUUCUUAAGAAAUAAAUUAUUAAAAUUAUCCUUCGUAUUUAUGAUUUCUUGAGAGAGAUGUAAAAAGAAGUGGACAAUUAAUAUAGAACGAAUGGAAUAAUAUUCCUCUGUAUCAAUAGGUGAACUUGGAGAGCUCAACACGCCAAACAAGCUUCGUAGACUAUAGGAGUAAGAUUUGCACACACCAACCCAUUUCAGACCCCAUUUGUAUGAUCUCACCGGAUACGUUGUAGAACUUGGAGAGCUCAACAUGCCUACCCCACAUAGGUAGAAGUAAAAUUUGUGUACACUCACUCUCCCACGACUCCACUUGAGGGAUCUCACCGAGUAUGUUAUUGUUGAACUUAGAGAGCUCAACUAAGUAACACUCUUUUAUAAAAAAAAGUCUUGAGAGUUUCCUUGUCUUAUGAACUUUUCUGGGCUCUGAACCAUAUUUCGACUUUGUGAUAAAUCCAUAGAUAACGAUAGAAAAUAAACAGGCACUCGAAAACAGGUACAUGUUCGAGAAUCAUUAAGCAACACUUAGUGGUUAGAGAUAAAAACCAACAACAAUAACACACUUCAGAUUUUUCAUAAUGCUUUUUCAUGCUAAGUACAAUGCUCAAUAUUCUUCAUUUUGUUUUCUGAAUCUCGCAACAGGGGUUUAUAAGCUACAGAAAUUAGGCGUUUCGUCGUACAAUUCUUCAGAUGAGCUACAAACAUCUUCACCUACAGCCUACAAUGGCGAUUG